GGUGAAGGAGUACCAUGACCUGGUGAGCUUUUGAAAGAGCAAAAUGGCAAGCCAUCAGAGGCCCAGGAGUCCAGAUGAGGAUUUGAUGGAAACCAGAUGGUGAUGAGUGAAAUACUGAGCAACCUGCUAGGCCCAGCCCAGAGUUAACUGAGGCAUAUAUUCAUCCAGUGGCUAUGCUCAUUUGGAAGCAAACUUGAAUAUUCCAGUUUUGGAACUUGAACCUAGGUGUUUCUGACUCUGAGCCAUCUGUCUAUUCAUCACAGAGUGACCUACUCAUUGAUUAUCACUGUGGAUAUCUGAGAAGAAAGGAGGCAAAUGAAAGCAAGAUGAGAAGGGCUACCGGAUGGGAAACAGGCCCAAGAGAAUUGAAAUCAUAAAAACAAAAGACUGGCGAUCCAGCUUAAAUAGCUUCAUCAUUAUUAAUUUAGGAAUCUUAAAGAGGGUCAGUGACAACAUGAAAAGGGCAUGUAAAAAUUGCAAUGGCAAGAACAGAAAUCUGCAAGAGAGAAAAUAUUAGUCAAAUGAGUAAAUGUUCUCAAGUCCGCUGCAGGAGCUGGUGUUGUUUGAGUGCCCUGACAUCUUUGGGGCUGGCCCUGCCAUCCAUGUCUGUGGGGCAUCGGUACCAGGUGACACAUCUGGAAGGCAACAAAUAUUCAGAAGUCCCUGGAGUCAGAUGGGGGCAAGGAUGUUCUCUGCCUCUAGGCACAUGGUGACUCUGUCCCUGAACAAGCCAAGUAUAUGCAAAACAUUAGGGCUUCCGGACAUAGGCUUGUAGGUUAGUUGUAAUGGAGCCAUUGGAUGAAACUGUAUUCCUUCCAUGAAAGGGAUGCUCAAGCUCAUAGUUAGUCCACUGACUCUAAUAGACAUGCUUUGACAAUGUACUGUCACUGUGGCUAAGAACGCCCAAGUUUUGGGAAAUGUACUUUCUGUGUGUUCUGUCACCUACUUUAUACACUUUGUCUGCAUUAAAUGUUUUGACCUCUCAAAAAUUUAAUUAAGUUAAAAAAGAAACUUGU